UGGGGAAUUUUGGACAAUGGGGGAAACCCUGAUCCAGCCAUCCCGCGUGUGCGAUGAAGGCCUUCGGGUUGUAAAGCACUUUUGGCAGGAAAGAAACGUCAUGGGUUAAUACCCCGUGAAACUGACGGUACCUGCAGAAUAAGCACCGGCUAACUACGUGCCAGCAGCCGCGGUAAUACGUAGGGUGCAAGCGUUAAUCGGAAUUACUGGGCGUAAAGCGUGCGCAGGCGGUUCGGAAAGAAAGAUGUGAAAUCCCAGAGCUCAACUUUGGAACUGCAUUUUUAGCUACCGGGCUAGAGUGUGUCAGAGGGAGGUGGAAUUCCGCGUGUAGCAGUGAAAUGCGUAGAUAUGCGGAGGAAGACCGAUGGCGAAGGCAGCCUACUGGGAUAACACUGACGCUCAUGAACGAGAGCGUGGGGGGCAAACAGG
rnacentral:rRNA from 1 species